rnacentral:rRNA from 1 species
UACGGAAGGCAGCAGUGGGGAAUAUUGCACAAUGGGCGCAAGCCUGAUGCAGCCAUGCCGCGUGUAUGAAAAAGGCCUUCGGGUUGUAAAGUACUUUCAGUCGUGAGGAAGGUGUUAAGGUUAAUAACCUUAGCAAUUGACGUUAGCGACAGAAGAAGCACCGGCUAACUCCGUGCCAGCAGCCGCGGUAAUACGGAGGGUGCGAGCGUUAAUCGGAAUUACUGGGCGUAAAGGGCACGCAGGCGGUUAAUUAAGUUGGAUGUGAAAUCCCCGGGCUUAACCUGGGAAUGGCAUUCAAGACUGGUUAGCUAGAGUCUUGUAGAGGGGGUAGAAUUCCAUGUGUAGCGGUGAAAUGCGUAGAGAUGUGGAGGAAUACCGGUGGCGAAGGCGGCCCCUGGACAAAGACUGACGCUCAUGUGCGAAAGCGUGGGGAGCAAACAGGGAUUAGAUACCC